AUCCGGCUGAUGAGUCCGAAAUAGGACAAAACGCGUGUUCCGAAU
rnacentral:hammerhead_ribozyme from 1 species